rnacentral:lncRNA from 1 species
AGUCUCAAUGUUGCCUCUACCCUGCUCCCACCUGCCUCCUUGGGAGGAAGUGUGAGGGGGUUAGUGGGUGCUUUUUCAGGUCUUCCUACUCUGAGUGAUGAAGGUGACCGGGAUGGGGCAGCGCUGCUUGGUCUAACCCUGUCUCUGCUGGGAGCGAGAAGCCAUACGAGGUCUGCUUAAAGGCAAGUUUGUUUUUUCUCCUGUUACCCUCUUCUCCUGCAGGGAGAGGGCUGCAGCAGGACCUCUGGAAGCAAGGAUCAGCUGUGGAGUGGGUAUGAGAUGGUGGUCGACUCUUGCUGCAAGUAGUUUCCUUCACAAAGGGACUGUGUAGGUUUGGGGCCAGCAGGAGGAUGUUGGUGGUGUUAAACUGCAGGUGGACCUGGAGAGUGAGCCCUAAUAGCGUGUUCCUCCUGGAGGUUGUGGUGCAGUUGAUGUUGAGGAAGGCUGCCAACCCUGCCCUUGUGGAACUCAUUCAGGAGCUGCAAUGCAUGGAAGUGCCUGGUGGCUGCCCUGGAGGAAAUGGUAGAUAUGACCUUUUCUGGGUUCCUGUUGAGCCCUGUAACCUUGUUUUUGUUUCUUUACAGUUGGUGGCUGAAUUAGCUGUUUCUGUGCUUGGUGCUGCUGCAGGACUGUGUCUUGAGUCACAAGUGACUGGUGAGAUUAAGGCUUUGUGUUUUUUGGGUGUGCUUCUUAUGUGUAUGAAGGGGCUGUUGAAGGCUGAUAUCAGCAAGUAAUGUAUCCCAUGGGAAAGCAGGCUACCUUUUGCCUGGCUAGUUAGCUUGCCCUUCCUGGGAGGGAGUUCUGUUGUGAACUUGGUUAUGUUUUGGGAUGGGGAAUUUCUUAGAGCAGUUUGCUGGGUGUGGGCCCUGGGGUUGUUUUCUUUGGUUUGUCUUUAUUUCCUUUUAGGCAAAGUGUGGUAUUGGGUGUUCUGCUCCAUCAGUGCUUCUUAUUGUUCUCUUCAGUGGAGAAGUUCUGAGGUUGAAUGAAGGGUGUAUGCUUUAAAGUGAAGGUUGUCUAGUUUAUUUAAGGUGUUGAGUCAGUUGUUUACUGUUGGUGGGAGGGUUGUUUGUUUUCUUCUUUUUUGGGUGCUGGAGGCUGGGUUUUGCACUAUCUCUAAAGAGAUAUAUUU